CCUUGUCGGGUGUUUCAUGGAUUUUUCGGCACCAGCAGUCUGGAGUUGUUUUUGAAAGAGGGUGAAAGCUCAAAGUCGCGACGCCUUCGACUUAUGGUCCCUGCUCUAUUCUCCAACUCCAAGCCCAGCCUCUCAAAGAACUCACCAAGCCUAACUCAGAGGAGUAUUCACCUGCCUGUCCACCCUCCAACAUCCCCCUCAAGUCACAGCGUAGCUUCGCCGCAGAAAAAAGGGACAACACCAACUGGAGAUUACUGGAACAAGCCCGCUCACAGCCUGCCAACCACAGAGUCUGUGGAGAAGGACUUACUCCCCCACUGUCUAGUUCAAACCACCAACUCAGGUCCUGGAAAGGAAGACCAACUGUUAAACAUCCACCAAGAGGAGCAGUUUUUAUUGAGACAACCUAUUUCAGAACAUAUGUCAUCACGGUUUAAACCUUCCAGCAAUUCAUAAGAAAUCUCAUCUCUUCUGAUCAGAUGUCAGAAUUUAACAAUAAGUGGACAAAAGCUGUGAAAAAGGAACAACUCUGUAUGGAUCGGGACUAAAGGAUGUCUUUUUAGUGGCAGUCUGCUUAUAAAAUAAAUAACAUGAAUGAAAACACUGUCAAGUUCAAUAUUGUGUUUAAUAAUAUUGUAAGUCAUAAAACGUGAAUAAACCAUAGUGUAAAAAC